rnacentral:rRNA from 1 species
UACGUAGGGUCCGAGCGUUGUCCGGAAUUACUGGGCGUAAAGAGCUCGUAGGCGGUUUGUCGCGUCUGCUGUGAAAACCCGAGGCUCAACCUCGGGCCUGCAGUGGGUACGGGCAGACUAGAGUGCGGUAGGGGAGAUUGGAAUUCCUGGUGUAGCGGUGGAAUGCGCAGAUAUCAGGAGGAACACCAAUGGCGAAGGCAGAUCUCUGGGCCGCAACUGACGCUGAGGAGCGAAAGCAUGGGGAGCGAACAGG